GGAUUCUAACUCAAAACAACAGCACAUUAGGCAAGAAGGCAUCAACUUAUGAAUUUGGCACACAAACCAGCCAAGAGGACACCUCCAAGUAGAAGGUGGGCUAAUUAAGGAAGAGGAGAAAAGGAGAAGGAACCACAGGUUUGGAGUCACUUGAGAUAAGGACACAUUGUUUCCUAAAGGCCAGACUGAAUCAUUCGGGAGAGAAGAAAUGCAGCCAACCUACUGUCUGCCUCUGAAGUCACUAGCUCCCAAUCAGCAAAGAGGAACAGACAUCCUUUUACAGUCUGCUGGGACCUGGGCUCCUAGAACACAGUACAAUUUGAAAGUCCAGGCAAUGUGGAUUAGAUGAUUUUGAUUGCUAUCUUAUUUUGAAGAAACUGCCUUUGAAUUACCCAGCUCUUUCUGUCAAGAGAAUUUAAUCCUAGUUUGCAAAGAGGACUUUUGAGGUUGAAGGUAUAUUUGGGCAUCUUUAAGUUCAGGAGGCUU